rnacentral:lncRNA from 1 species
AGAAGUGAUGACAUUGUUGGCAAUAUUUUGUGCAAUGAUAUUUUCAUUCAAAUAAACUCAUGUUAAAACAUUUGUGUUUCCAAUUAUUUUCCCUUUUUGCUUUUUGCAUGAAAUUGGUGAUCACCAAAAAAACCUUAAAAAGCAAGAAUAAAAGCAAUCUUUUCAUCUGCAUAACGAUUGUCUUGUUUGUUUUUCAAAGAGCUUUUCAUAUCAAAAUCUUUAUGCAGGUUGUUUCUCAAACCCAUUGAACAUAGUGAUCGGACGUCAUCUCCCAAUUUUGAAUUCCCUGUAUUCGAAGCGGACGAAGAUGAUGUUGAAGGGAUUCCUGACGAGAUUUCCCGACCUCUUGAGCAAGAAAAGAAGAUCACUCAGCUGCAUCUCGAGAAUCAGCAGAACAGCCAACUGGGGCAUUAUCAAAAAAAAGAAAAAAGAAAAAAAGAAAAAAAGAAAGAGGAGGGUGCAAAUCCAAAUCAAAAGAAAGAAAAAGAAAGAAAGAAACAAGGAAAAUAGCACCCUCAAAGUCCCAAGUUGACUGAUGUUGAGUUCAAUCAAAAUCAAAGAGAUCAACUGCCAUGUGUCAUGGUCAGUCAUAUCAGCAGAGAGUGAAGAA